rnacentral:ncRNA from 2 species
GUACGUUAGUCGGGGAGCCUUUGGCUGAGACCAUUUCGAUGGGACCCGUUGAACCUGAUCCAUUUAAUAAUGGCGUAGGGAACUAGCAACCGUGUCUC